rnacentral:rRNA from 1 species
UACGUAGGGUGCAAGCGUUGUCCGGAUUUAUUGGGCGUAAAGAGCUCGUAGGCGGCUUAGAAAGUCAGGUGUGAAAACUCUGGGCUCAACCCAGAGACGCCACUUGAUACUUCUAUGGCUUGAGUUCGGUAGGGGACCAUGGAAUUCCUGGUGUAGCGGUGGAAUGCGCAGAUAUCAGGAGGAACACCGAUGGCGAAGGCAGAUCUCUGGGCCGUAACUGACGCUGAGGAGCGAAAGCGUGGGGAGCGAACAGG